GACGAACGCUGGCGGCGUGCUUAACACAUGCAAGUCGAACGGUAAGGCCCUGUCUUUGUGGGGUGCUCGAGUGGCGAACGGGUGAGUAACACGUGAGUAACCUGCCCUUGACUUUGGGAUAACUUCAGGAAACUGGGGCUAAUACCGGAUAGGAGCUCCUGCUGCAUGGCGGGGGUUGGAAAGUUUCGGCGGCUGGGGAUGGACUCGCGGCUUAUCAGCUUGUUGGUGGGGGAGUGGCUUACCAAGGCUUUGACGAGUAGCCGGCCUGAGAGGGUGACCGGCCACAUUGGGACAGAGAUACGGCCCAGACUGCUACGGGAGGCAGCAGUGGGGGAUAUUGCACGAUGGGCGGAAGCCUUAUGCAGCAUCGCCGCGUCCGGGAUGACGGCCUUCGGGGUGUAAGCCGCGUUCGCCUGUGACGAAGCGUGAGUGACGGUAAUGUGUAAAGAAGCACCGGCUAACUACGUG
rnacentral:rRNA from 1 species